AGGAUGAGCACCUGCGUGGCGCAGCAGUUAUGUGCUGUUACGGGAUCACCCGGCUUGCUGGGCUGACUCCGCGCAGAAGAAUGUGGUGCCGGGAAGGGGUUGGCAGAACGUGAAACCACAAAGCCCUCCUUGGUGAAAAUAUAGGAAAUGACGAUCCAUUCCUGGGUAGAAGGCCAGCGCUCCAUCUUCACUAGCACGAUAUAGUUGAACAGCAUCAAGUAUCCGAUGUACGCCAGCUGUAAGGAAACACAAUACAGUCUCUGGCUGUGAAGACCUGGGAGCCCUGCCCCUGGGCAAGGGCGCUGUGCAGCAGGGCACGGCAAGGGCUGGCAUAUGCAUAUACAUGUUGGAGAUCACGUAUGAAAGUGAGAGGGCAGCUGAACAGAUGCUGAAGAGUCAACAGAGCUCCUUCUCUCCUUGCGAGAUUCACUCCUGUACACCCACCCCGCCCAAGGACUACUCUUUAUAACCACGCUUUAGUUCCUGCCCCACCCACAUUGAGAUCAUUAGCACACUAUGAAAACCUCACCUGAAAAGAAU